rnacentral:rRNA from 1 species
UACAGAGGGUGCGAGCGUUAAUCGGAAUUACUGGGCGUAAAGCGUGCGUAGACGGUCAUGUAAGUCAGGCGUGAAAUCCCCAGGCUCAACCUGGGAACUGCACUCGAAACUCCCAGUCUAGAGUGGUGGAGAGGGAAGUGGAAUUCCUGGUGUAGAGGUGAAAUUCGUAGAUAUCAGGAGGAACACCAGUGGCGAAGGCGGCUUCCUGGACACCAACUGACGCUGAGACGCGAAAGCGUGGGGAGCAAACAGG